rnacentral:lncRNA from 1 species
UUUUUUUUACCCGCUCUUUCUCUAUAACCGCCUCGUUUAAAUAAUGUAACCAAUCGAAGCCAUUAGACAAAAAUAGUAAAUUUUAAACUUUUUUUAGUUAAAGAUCGUAAUCUAUGUUUUGUAUUAUUUUUUUUUUCCAAAACAAGUUCCCCAAAAAUGUUAAAACCUAAUGUAAAUUCAAAUCUUCACUAGAAUUUAGUCAAAUAUUUUGAAACGUGUAUAGACUGUUUUUGAAAAAGAAAAAUUCAAAUUUAAAGUUUCAAUACAACGUCAUAACGUUAUUUUUU